CCCUUAGAUGUUCUGGGCCGCACGCGCGCUACACUGAUGCAUUCAACGAGUCUAAAACCUGCUCUGAUAGGGGUGGGUAAUCUUUUGAAUGUGCAUCGUGAUUGGGAUAGAUGAUUGCAAUUUUUCAUCUUCAACGAGGAAUGCCUAGUAAACGCAAGUCAUCAGCUUGCAUUGAUUACGUCCCUGCCCUUUGUACACACCGCCCGUCGCUCCUACCGAUUGAAUGAUCCGAUGAAUAUCAUGGAUUGAGGAUGCAAGCAGGUUCGCCUGUCUUCAUCUUCGAGAAGUGAAGUAAAUCUCAUCAUUUAGAGGAAGGAGAAGUCGUAACA
rnacentral:rRNA from 1 species